AUUGAACGCUGGCGGCAUGCCUUACACAUGCAAGUCGAACGGUAACAGGCCGCAAGGUGCUGACGAGUGGCGAACGGGUGAGUAAUGCAUCGGAACGUGCCCGGUAGUGGGGGAUAACUGCUCGAAAGAGCAGCUAAUACCGCAUACGACCUGAGGGUGAAAGGGGGGGAUCGCAAGACCUCUCGCUAUCGGAGCGGCCGAUGUCGGAUUAGCUAGUUGGUGGGGUAAAGGCCCACCAAGGCAACGAUCCGUAGCUGGUCUGAGAGGACGACCAGCCACACUGGGAAUGAGACACGGCCCAGACUCCUACGGGAGGCAGCAGUGGGGAAUUUUGGACAAUGGACGCAAGUCUGAUCCAGCCAUGCCGCGUGCGGGAAGAAGGCCUUCGGGUUGUAAACCGCUUUUGUCAGGGAAGAAAUCUUCUGGGCUAAUACCCUGGGAGGAUGACGGUACCUGAAGAAUAAGCACCGGCUAACUACGUGCCAGCAGCCGCCGUAAUAC
rnacentral:rRNA from 1 species